rnacentral:rRNA from 1 species
CUCGUAGGUGGUUUGUCGCGUCGUCUGUGAAAUUCCGGGGCUUAACUCCGGGCGUGCAGGCGAUACGGGCAUAACUUGAGUACUGUAGGGGUAACUGGAAUUCCUGGUGUGGCGGUGAAAUGCGCAGAUAUCAGGAGGAACACCGAUGGCGAAGGCAGGUUACUGGGCAGUUACUGACGCUGAGGAGCGAAAGCAUGGGUAGCGAACA